GGAUGCGAUCAUAGCAGCACUAAAGCACCGGAUCCCAUCAGAACUCCGAAGUUAAGCGUUCUUGGGUGAGAGUAGUACUAGGAUGGGUGACCUCGUGUUGCAUUCC
rnacentral:rRNA from 2 species